UACGUAGGGUGCAAGCGUUGUCCGGAAUUAUUGGGCGUAAAGAGCUCGUAGGCGGUCCGUCACGUCGGGAGUGAAAACUUGGGGCUUAACCCCAAGCCUGCUUCCGAUACGGGCGGACUAGAGGUAGGCAGGGGAGAACGGAAUUCCUGGUGUAGCGGUGAAAUGCGCAGAUAUCAGGAGGAACACCGGUGGCGAAGGCGGUUCUCUGGGCCUUACCUGACGCUCAGGUGCGAAAGCUAGGGGAGCGAACAGG
rnacentral:rRNA from 1 species